AGAGAGAGAGGUACACCCAUCCUCCUUAAUGAU
rnacentral:tRNA from 2 species